CGCUUCCUAUAAAAGUCCCUCCUCUAAAUCCCUUCAGUAGCCUCUAGCCAUUAGCACUGCCACCGACCAUCGUAGCCGUCACCUGAACCCGGGCCCUCCUGUCUUCUCUCCCUGUCUCCAUUUUUCGCUGUAGUGUAUAUAUACACAUAUCAUUUCUUUCGAGUUUUUCUCCUUUAUACAUGAACCAGCAAUGGGCAACCUCUGCACCUGUUUCGCACCCAAAACAGUGAAAAAGAAGAAAUCUACAAAGCGUUUACCCGGUAACCCGCAGUCAGUGCCUAAUUCAAGCAACCGUUGGACUCGGAUCCGGUCCACGCGCAAAGACAGCACUGAUUCUUCGAUUCAGGAGCAGGCUUUGGCUGCCGCCAUUCUUUUUAGGCAGCACCAGCAACAGAACGGGUCCGGUUCAUUGCCGUUUGAUCGGUCGGCUUCGUUACGGUACCCGAAUAAUUCCGGGUCGAAGAAAACCCAGUUGCCCCGAAGCUCUAGUUCGAGAGCCCGGUCCCUUACUGACCCGUUGCUGCAGCCUCACCAGCUAGUUAACCAGGAUAUUAAGCUUGAUGAUCUCGAGACUAAUCAUCUUGUUCUUGUCCAUGGGGGAGGCUUUGGUGCCUGGUGUUGGUACAAAACAAUAGCUCUUCUAGAAGAGGGUGGUUUCAAAGUUACUGCAGUAGACUUAACAGGCUCCGGGAUUCAUUCUUUUGAUACAAAUGGCAUUACCAGUCUUUCUCAAUAUGUGAAACCCCUUACCAAUUUUCUUGAAAAACUUUCUGAUGGGGAGAAGGUUGUUUCCAUUUCUUUGUAACUUACCUGUUUCAUUUUUAUAUGUGCUACUUUUCCUGCUUUUGGUUGGGUUCAAAAAAUUUUACCUAUUACAGUGUGUCAUCAACAAUAACGUACUCUAGUUGGUUUCUUAGGAACAUUCAAUGACAGUGUUAGCUAGGCAUUUUUCAUUUGCCUGUAAGAUUUCAGAUUUUGUUGCACAACAGAUUAGUGUUUACAAACCCCUAUUACUUAGAUUUGUGCAAAGUUUUCCUCUACUCAAUACCUCUAAGCAUCAUUUUUCUAAUUAUGCGUAAAUAGAAACUUUGCUUGGCAUUCUGUUGUUUAAUUAAAAACUUUUUUUUUAACUAACAUACGAGAAAAUUAUCAGAAAUUCUUGUCAUGUCUCUCACUGAUUGCUUUUGAAACGCAUUGAAAUACAUGAUUGCUUUUACUAAUUUUAAAUGGAAGGUCAUGGGGCACAACUUCUUUUUUCUUUAAUAUUGAAGGCAAUGUUGCUGUUGACUCUCUCUCAAUUUAUUGCCUUUUCUGUAUGAAGUUUCAGGUUCAGUUUUGACUUAUUUGCGUUUGCAUUUGAAAAGCACAAACUUUUCUUUAAAUACAUUAUUGUGCUAAAUAAUGCAGGUGAUUUUGGUGGGGCAUGAUUUUGGUGGUGCUUGUAUAUCAUAUGCAAUGGAGUUGUUUCCCCAUAAAACAUCAAAGGCUAUUUUUGUUGCUGCUGCAAUGCUGACUAAUGGACAGAGCACUCUUGAUAUGUUCUCACAACAGGUUUACCCUUUGCUAUGUGUCUGUUGAUUUGAAUGCAACCACUGAUUUGGAAAUAUUUUUAUGUUUGAAAUUUCUCAAAGUGCAUUAACUGAUGACAGAAUUUAGGAUCCCUGUUAUAUGAAUUGCUUACCCUAAUUUUGUUUUCAAUUUUGCAUUGGAAAGAUGCUUAACCCCAAAUUGGAAUGCAUGAACAUGGUUACACACAAAAAUGUGACAUCUAGGUUGUGAUAGAACUAAUUUCUUUUUGGUUUUCUGAAUCUUUUAUGUAAUUGUUUCUAGCCCUACCCAAUGUUUAAGGUUUCUGCAUUUUUCUGUGGCUGCAUGUGGAUGUUUUAGUUAUAAGAUCAUUUUUAAAUUUAUAGAAAUUAUGUCUCAUGUCCUCAAAACAUUUACUAGCCUCGUGAUUAAUGUAUGCCUGUGUAAUUUUAGAUCUGAAUGAUAGUUGAUUAGAUCAUAUCCUUUUGGUAAAGUGUAUUUAGAUGUAACACUGCCAUCUCAGCUUUCCAUGUUACUGGUGAAGUUCAGGUGUAUAGGUUUUUUGGCCCCUUCCCUUCUGUACUAAUUCAAAUAUGAUUGCAGGCAAAUUCAAAUGAUUUGAUGCAACAGGCUCAGAUAUUUGUGUACGCAAAUGGGAAUGGCCAUCCUCCAACUGCUAUUGAUCUGGAUAAAUCGUUAUUGAGAGAGUUGCUGUUCAACCAGAGUCCUGCCAAGGUAUGCUUGAUUUCAUGUGUAAUUACUGUUAAAACCUCAUUCUUCAUUGUUAUACAUAUUCAAAAGGCCACUUAAGUUUCUUCAUAAUAUGGGUAUAGGACUCUGUCAUUAUUAGAGUUUGAGAUAUAUGAUCAAGAUCAACUUAAUCAUUGGCCUAGUGGUCCCUGUAGACAAGUGAUUUGGGAGGGAGAGGGUCAUGUCCCGUUUUGUAGCCUAGGCUCGGCAUACCCAUUGGACAAAAAAAGGAAGUUUGAACAUGCAGAUUUAUGCACAUAUAGGCAUGCAAUAGAAGUUCAGAUAAUGGCUGCUAAAGGAGUCUUAUGAGGUUUCUAACUAUCGAAAUGUCUGUUCUUUGAUAAUCAUUCAUUAAUGCGAUUGAUGUUAGAGACUUGACCUACCAUCUUGGUUGUGCUUGGACUUGGCACUGCAAGAUUGGGAUUAUUUGUGUGUGAGGUUACUUCUUGGAGGUGGCUGCACUCAAGUAUCAGCUGCAGCUAGGUUUAUGGAUGGUUAAAAGUGUAGUUUUGAUUGCUUCUAGUUAACAAUUUGAGGGUGCACUUAAAAGUUAUACUACUUCUGAAAGCUGCUAUGCCUUAUUUGGCUACAUGGUUUGGUAUCAACACUGAAGGAAACUCAACUAGUGUAAGAAAAGCCUACCAAGCUCUUGACUGGGCUAUGGCCACCAAUCUUUUAUUUAUUUUUUUAAUCUUUCUUCUUUUUUGAGCCUUUAUGGCUCUUAGAGAUGCUGGAAAUCCUCUCAAGGGGUGAAGAUCUUAAGUAUGUCUCUUUGGCAUCCAGAGGAAUUUCUUAAAAAUAAGUAAAGAACAUUCAUUUUGUUCUCUGUUCAUAAUUUUGACUUUGCAUAUGAAUGUGUAUACACAUAAUACGUAUCAUUUUUUUUUUCUCUCUCUUCUGUUGCUCAUUCCUUCUUGUAUCUUUUGGUUCAGGAUGUUGCAUUAGCUUCUGUUUCAAUGAGGCCUAUCCCCUUUGCACCAGUUUUAGAGAAGCUUUGUCUUUCAGAUAUGAAAUAUGGAACAGUGAGACGGUUUUAUAUAGAAACUGCAGAGGAUAAUGCCAUUCCUAUUACACUACAGGAAAGCAUGAUAAACUCAAGCCCCCCGGAAAAGGUUUUCCAUUUAAAAGGUGCUGAUCACUCACCUUUUUUCUCCAAGCCUCAAGCCCUUCACAAGAUAUUGGUAGAGAUUUCUAAGAUGCCUUCAACUUGAUAGUUUGGUAACUAGAUGACAUAUUGGAGUCCCCGAAAGCUUCAUUGGAAGUGGUACAGAAUUGCUGCUCACAUCAGGCUCUUCUCUGCAAGUCAUUAGAAGAGAAGAUUUUGAGUUGUGUAAAUGCGCUGUUAAAAAAAUUGUCAUCCAUUGCUUAAUUUCCAUAGAAAAUUUCAACCAUCUUGUCAGAGACCAAAUAUGUUUAUAUCCUUCCUCUGUCUCGUUUUUCUAUCUAUUUUUUUUCACUUUUUUCUUUUUUCUUUAUUUGGUCUUGUUAUCCUAUUUUACUCGAUAACAGAAUAUUUAUAACGAAUUUAUGUUGGAAAUUGCUCACUUCAACAGAAAGGGGAGAAAAGAAAGGUAUAGUGUAACUGUGGCCAUUUUCUUUGGGUCUUGGUUCCCUGUUUUUGGAUUGUUGGAUUCUAGGAAGAGAAGGGAAUUGCAUACAGGACCACCAUGGAGGAGGGAUUAGGAUAUUAUUGGUUGCCAAGACCAAGAUUUGAAUUUUUGGUAUUUAUA
rnacentral:misc_RNA from 1 species